GGCGGGGCGGGAGCCGUUGGGUCGAGGGCGUGGCUCUCGCGGUUGGUGGUGACCAGUCCUGGCCUAGUGGAGGCUCCGAGCCUGGGGAUCGCUGACCUUGGACGGGAGUCUGGGAGGGGUUAACUGCAGGAAGCCUCCGCCGGGUGGCUGGUGCCCCGGAGCUAGGAGACGUGGCGCUUUGAAUGGGUCCGGGGGAGGGGCUCUCGAGGAAGUCGGGGAUGGGGUGGGGGUAGGGAGGAGUGGGUGAAGAGUGUGGAAGCGGGUAAGGGGGUCUAGGUCAAAGUCGCUCAAGUAGGGUGUAGGUUUUCUACAUUCUUUUCCUGGGAGUGGUGUUGGGGUGGAACAAACAUUUUCUCCCUGGGUCACACGGCUAGAUGCUUCCAGAGUAGGCUUAACUGAGUAUGAAGCCGGCACUCCUCUUGCAAGGCCUAGGUUUCAUUCACAAACUGACUAUUUCUCUUCAGGGCCAACUAACAUACUGCGUGCCUAUCAUUCGCUAGCCUGGCUCAUUCACUGUUGAUCUGGGUGUUCCCCAGAAAUCAAAACUUGGAAAGCCCGUGGGCGGCACUAUUUUCCUAGUAAUUUGUAGCUUUAAUAAGAAAUAACAAGAGAAGCACAUUGAACUGUGUUUACGCGUAGAGGUAGCUCCCCCCUUGUGUUUUAUUUUAAGCUUUUAUACAAGACCACAAAAGGAGUUUGAAAAAAUUCUGUGUUUAUAAUCUGUGUUGACCAUCUCUGGGUAGAGUUAGGAAGAAAUGAAUUGCCUUUUCAGAUUUUAAUUACAAAGAUAAUGUUUGCUGGAUGCCUUCAGUUUUUUCCUUUUUGCUAUAUGGAAACUUUAAUCAUUAAAUGAUAGCAAACAUUUAAGCAGGUGUCUUGACUGGACUAAUUACAGUUGACCCUUGAACAACUCGGGGGUUAAGGGCACUGACUCCUGGGCAGUGGAGUAUAACUUUUGCCUCCCCCAAAACUUGUAAUAGCCUCCUGUUGACUGGAAGCCUUACCAGGAACAGGAACAGUCACCUAACGCAUAUUUUGUAUGUUAUAUGUAUUACAUACUAUCGUCUUAAAUAAGUCUUAAAGUAAGCUAGAGAAAAAAAAUGUUAAGAAAAUCUUAAGGAAAAUACAUUUACAGUACUGUGCUGUUUGUUGAAAGAAAUGCAUGUAUAAGUAGACCCAAGCAGUUCAACUUCGUGUUUUUCAAGGGUCAACUGUGCAGACUUUCUCAAAGAAUAUAAAUGGGAUAAGAUUAAUAAGCACCUAAUGCCAAAACUGUAUUAAGGAGUAUUUUGACCUACUUUGCAACAGUAUUGUAAAUGCAUGUUGUGAUUAAUGGGUGGAAGGGAGUUUUGUAAAUAAUAAUAAAAAUAAACCACUCUUGCUAAGCUUUUAUAGACUUAUAAUUAAAGACAGUGUAAAUUAUAAGGCCUAAAACUUUGAAGAUAUCAUUGGGAUCUGCUUUAACUCUACAAGGUUCCAAAUUCCAUUUAUGUUUAUGAAGUUAGAUUUAUAAUCCCAUUCUUAACAUUUUGUUUCCAGAGACGGGAAAUGUGAUGAAUUUCCUAAGAGGUUCCACUGCCCAUUCUAGGUUAACACCUGUGGAUUUAGGAAUUGGACAGAUUAUACAAUAAGAGUAGCAGGAUUUCCCUGUUCCUUGGGCAGCCUAGCAAGUAUUGAUUACGUAAAAUCAUUUCACCUUGCUUUUUUCUGUGACUGUCCCUAAAAAUACCUUUAAAAAAAAACUUUAAAAUAAAUUUAAAAUUUUACUUUGUUUAGUAAUACAGAUAACAUCAUUUUCAUAUAUAACUUUAUAGUCAUUUUUCCAGGUUUUGUAAUAUAUGUAUAUGUUACCUAUGUAUAUAUAUGUAUAUAUUAUAUAUAUAUGUUUUACACAUUUAUUUUAAAGUUUAUUUAUUUGUUUUUGAGAAAGAAAGACAACAUAAGUGGGGAAGGGGCAGAGAAAGAGAGGGGACAGAAUCUGAAGCAGGCUCCAGGCUCUCAGCUGUCAGCACAAGAUGUGGGGCUCGAACCCAAGAACAGUGAGAUCAGGACCUGAGCUGAAGUCGGACGCUUAACCACCUGAGCCGCCCAGGUUAAGUCUUGAAGGAUGAGUAGGAUGUUGCCAAGAAGAGAAGGAAGGGGGUGGAGAUUAAUUCUAAGCAUGGAGACCAGCAAAAGUAAAGGCUUGGGACAUGAGAAAAUUUGGUGUAUCUGGAUUGUGUGAGCUUCCCUGAGGAGAGGCACAUGGGGCAAGAAAUUUGAGGGUGGCCUCCUACCAGCAGCCAGCAAGAAAGCAAGAUGCUCAGUCGGAUGAUCCAGAAAGAACUAAAUCCUGCCAACAACCACAUGAAUUUGGAAACGGAAUCUUCCCUGAUAAGACUCCAGUGCUGGCUAACGUCCUUCUGAGGGGCACCAAAGCAGAGCAGCCAGUUAAGCUGUAUCCAUAUUCAUGAUUCACAGAAACUGUGAGAUAAUAAAUAGGUACUGUUUUUCAGUUGGUAAAUUUGUGGGAAUAUUGUUUUGUAGCAACAGAU